rnacentral:rRNA from 1 species
AAGAAGAACGCGGCGUUGCCCGUGUAUUCCGGGUAGAUGUCGAUUUCGCCUGUCGUCAGCGCCCGGCGGACGAUCGGCGUCGCGCCGAGCCCGAUCUUGUCGACGACGGCGAUUCCGUGGGCCUUGAGCACCUGCGAGAUCACGUUGCCGAGCAGGUUGCCUUCGGUAUCGAUCUUCGACGCGACGGUGACCGCGCCGGCGGCGCGCGCGCCGGGCGCGGCCGCGCAGAGGGAAACGGCGAGCGCGGCGGCGGCCGCGCGCAGGGUACGGCUGAAACGGGGAACUUUCAUCGGGGCUGAUGCUCCUGUCGGACAGCGGAUGAACGGAUGCGAGAGGCGCCCGCGCGCACCGGCGGCGCGACGCGGCCGGGCGUGAAGCGGGGCCGCGCGCAGGCGACAGGGGUUCAAGGUACUUGAGCGGGCGCGCUUUGGCAAACAAGGGCGCAUUCACGCUCGGGCGGAAAAUCGCGGGCCGAUCGCCGGGCAAUCGCCGGGCAAUCGCCGGGCAAUCGUUUGGGACUGCGCAAUUGCGUCAUGCGGCGAUACAAUGCGACGGACGGCGCCGCGCAUGGAACGGAUAUUGCGCUGCACCGUCGCUCGCCGUCUCGAGUCGUUUUUGAGCCGCUUUCCGCCGAUUGCCGUCUACGUCAAGGAGCGUCCAUCGUGAGCAGCGAUCCCCACACGGCGCCUCAGUCCGCGCCGCAGAACAUCUACGACGACGCAUCGUUCUUCGAAGGCUAUCGCACGCUUCGGCAAGGCGACACCGGCCUGAACGGCGCGCUCGAAUCUCCCGCGAUGAAGCGUCUGCUGCCGAACCUGGCGGGCCUGCACGUGCUCGACCUCGGCUGCGGCUUCGGCGAUUUCGCCCGCUACGCGCGCGCGCACGGCGCGGCGUCGGUGACGGCCGUCGACGUGUCGUCGCGGAUGCUCGAGGAGGCGCGCGCGCGCACCGACGACGGCGCCGUCACCUAUCUGCAGCGGUCGAUCGAGACCUAUCACGCGGCGACGCGCGCGUUCGAUCUCGUCGUGUCGUCGCUCACGCUGCAUUACGUCGAGGACUACGCAGGCGUCGUCGCGCGGAUCUACGACGCGCUGCGCUCGAACGGCCGAUUCGUGUUCUCGGUCGAGCAUCCGAUCUGCACCGCGUACCCGCACGGCUGGGUGCGCGGCGACGACGGCCACAAGCAGCACUGGCCCGUCGACCGCUACCGGCAGGAGGGGCGGCGCGACACGCGCUGGUUCGUCGACGGCGUCGUCAAGUAUCACCGCACCGUCGAGACCUACGUGAACACGCUGCUGAAGGCGGGCUUCACGCUCACGCACCUCGGCGAGCCGGCACCGGUUCCCGACGCGCUCGCGGUGCGGCCGGACCUCGAAGCGGAAUGCCGGCGGCCGCCGGUGCUGUUUCUCGCGGCGGUGCGGGCGGGGAACUGACGGGCGCUCGAGCGCGGCGGCGG